CUACUACUCUAUCUCUAUCUUUACUUCAUUGUCUUUUAUUUGUUUGGUUUGUAAUAAUAUUCUGAUGUUGCUUGGAUAUUGGCUGGAUGUUUUUAUUUUGUACUUGAAUUUGAAUCUCCUUUGUUUAAUUGUGGAAUGAUUUUUACCUCUAGAGUUUGUUUCAAUAUUUUGGCAUGUUCUUUCUAGUCACUUGAGUAUCAAUUACUUGAUUUUCUCCGUGUNNNNNNNNNAGCACACACGAGGCAUGUUUCUUGGUACCUUUGAGCCUUUCUAUCCACCCUUACUUAUACUUAUCCUUUGCUUAACCAAUUUGAGCUGAAAAAGAAUAUGUGAUUUUUGCAAAACCUUAAGAAAUUUUUGAAAAAAAAAAGGAAUGACUUUCUUGGAGGUUAGGCACCUAAUUAGUGGUUGAUGCGCAUUGCUCACCACUAAGUUUGGGGUUGCUCUUUGGUAUUAGCAACAAAUGAAGUUUGGGGUGAGGGUACUAGAGAACUUAUGAAAGUUUUGAUUUGAAAAAUU
rnacentral:lncRNA from 1 species